GAAUGAUUGAAGGUGGAAAUGGAGAAGACGGAGGUGACCAUUAGUGUGGCGAUGGGUAGAGAGAUAGCUACCAUCAGGAUCAGAGGGUUUGAUGGGUGAGAUUGCUCCUGCUGGCCAGCCUUUUGCUUUUAUUCUUGAAGCUGUGAGAUCUUUGGUGGCCUGGAUUCCAGUUGCAGUUACAAAAUUCCAGUAUAUGAAAAUAUGGAUAAGUCAGGAUUGUGGUUCAUGGAAGGAUCCUUGUUAACCAGAAACUGAAAUCAGUCAGCCUUUGAAUUAACUCUUUACCUUUACCCGCAGAAAGCGGUCUGAGCUCAGCUGCCUGCUUUGGUGAUGAGUGGCACAAACACCCAGUCUUAUCAAGCAGGGCGGUGAGUGCCUCUGCAGUCCCUGAUCUGACAGCUUGAUACAGGAGAGCCACAACAAAGAAGCUGACAUGAAAGAGAAAAAGAAAUGUGAGAUUUCUACAUAUUUAUAUGAUGCCUGGGAGAAUAGAGGAGGAUCAUCGCGGCAAAAAACAAAACAAAAACCCCUACUGGAAUAAAUAACUACUCACCAAAGGUGCAAAAAAAAAAAAAACUUCAGCUUCAUGGAAAGAAGAAAAAGAUGUAAGAGCUCCAGAGAUUUCCUCCUGACCUACCCCAUGUGAGAUUCCCUGUCUCUAAGCUGUCUGCAUUUUUUUCCUGGCUCCCGUUUUAUUCCGAUUAUUACUUUUAUUAUAUGUUUAUUUAUCCCAUUAAUUUUAAGAAGUUGUCGAAUAAUAAUAUAAUAGGGAAAUAAAUAACAAACAAUUAAAAAUUAAGACUUCCCCACAACAACCUGCACCAAUAGAAAACCGGCUCAUUUAAAGACAAAUCAGAAAUCAAGACAACCGGCACUGAAAACGGGACCUGAGCCAGUCCCUGCUCAAUUGGUCUUUGGUUGCUACUUUGGCUCUAAAGGUGCCAAUGAAAAUUCAGGACAUCUGUUGUCUUUACCAAGGUCAAUAAAUCAUGAAGCUCAACACUGUCCAACAGAUAAUGGUUGUGAAAACCUACACCAGUAAAUUAUAAAUUAAAAUUAUGACAAGUAUAUCAAUGUAUGAACUAAUUCGAGCACUAAUUUAAAUUAGGUCUCAAAUGUUCCUGAGUAAAAGAACAUUUUUGAUCUAAUCUAAUGUAUGGCCCAAAAUGUGGGUCAGGGCAGUGAUUGUCUGGAAGAAGCUCUGAGUUCUGGGCCUCCUCUGAGCCCAGAGAUGGACCGUUAGCAGUGGUGGGUUCGCACCACUUCGGCAGAACCGGUAGCUAAUUUUUUGUUGCCCAGGCCUAGAAUGAACUUCCGGAAGUGGCAUCCACACAAAGAAUCAGUUGUUCACAUAUUUGAAUCCCACCACUGGCCGUUAGGUAGUACUCUUAGUUUGGGCAAAGCUAAAACCAUUCUGCAGUGAGAUCAAGCAAAUAAGCCAAUCCAGCUUGAAGGAUAGUUAAAUACUUGUAUCCCCAGGUUGUCCUUUUGACUUAAACUGAGAAACAUGGCCUCACAUUUGGUCACCUGUGGAACAAUGGAGAAACCUAGAACAAUUAUCCACUAAUUUCUUUGUCCACAAUUGGAUGGAGAAUUUCUCAGAGCCAUUUAAGUCUAGCUCUCCAUGGAACCCAUCCACAAAUAACAUGCUGCAUUUUGUUCAUCUCUUCAGUGCAUGAUUUUCAUCUGUAAAAUACAUCUAUAAAUUCUGGCUAGAGUUUCAUGCCUCCUCCCACUCUGGUGAACCAACUGAUUGAUUGCUAAUAUCAAAUAGAAGCCGAUAUCCAGAAAUAUUCUUGGGAUAUUUUCAAAAGCGAUAUAUUUUAUUACUUCUUUCACUCCCAUGCAAUGCUGUAUUAUUACUUCUUGUCUCCCCAAAACAUUUUGGCCCCACAUCCCCAGCCACCUUUUCAAUAUUCUUUAUUUUGCUAAUGUUUAUACGCCUUUAUUUUCCUUAUUUGGAAAAUACUUUUCUUUUUAAAAUAAAGCAUUCAAAGCUUUUGAAAGCUUCCUUGCCCAUUUUUAUAUCUAUUUCAGUUUCAUAGCUUUUGUAAUCUUUAAAAAACUUUAAAGUUUUUCACCAUGCAACUUCUGUGUGUUAUAUCAAUUUUGUAAUGGAGAAGGUUUAAGUAUAGAAAAUCUCUUCUCUAAGUUCUUUAAUGAUAUCAUAUUCCAUAUGGCCUCUAUUUGAAAUA